CACGAACGCUGGCGGCGUGCUUAACACAUGCAAGUCGAACGAUGAUGCCCAGCUUGCUGGGUGGAUUAGUGGCGAACGGGUGAGUAACACGUGAGUAACCUGCCCCUGACUCUGGGAUAAGCGUUGGAAACGACGUCUAAUACUGGAUAUGACUGCCGGCCGCAUGGUCUGGUGGUGGAAAGAUUUUUUGGUUGGGGAUGGACUCGCGGCCUAUCAGCUUGUUGGUGAGGUAAUGGCUCACCAAGGCGACGACGGGUAGCCGGCCUGAGAGGGUGACCGGCCACACUGGGACUGAGACACGGCCCAGACUCCUACGGGAGGCAGCAGUGGGGAAUAUUGCACAAUGGGCGAAAGCCUGAUGCAGCAACGCCGCGUGAGGGAUGACGGCCUUCGGGUUGUAAACCUCUUUUAGUAGGGAAGAAGCGAAAGUGACGGUACCUGCAGAAAAAGCACCGGCUAACUACGUGCCAGCCGCCGCGGUAAGAC
rnacentral:rRNA from 1 species